GGCCUCGCGCGGUUGGACGAACCGAUGUGCGAUUAGCUAGUUGGUAGGGUAAUGGCCUACCAAGGCGACGAUCGCUAGCUGGUCUGAGAGGAUGAUCAGCCACACUGGAACUGAGACACGGUCCAGACUCCUACGGGAGGCAGCAGUGGGGAAUAUUGGACAAUGGGCGCAAGCCUGAUCCAGCAAUGCCGCGUGUGUGAAGAAGGCCUUCGGGUUGUAAAGCACUUUUAUCAGGAGCGAAAUACUACUGGCUAAUAACCGGUGGGGCUGACGGUACCUGAGGAAUAAGCACCGGCUAACUUCGUGCCAGCAGCCGCGGUAAUACGAAGGGUGCAAGCGUUAAUCGGAAUUACUGGGCGUAAAGCGUGCGUAGGCGGUUAUUUAAGUCUGUUGUGAAAUCCCCGGGCUCAACCUGGGAAUGGCAAUGGAUACUGGAUAGCUAGAGUGUGAUAGAGGAUGGUGGAAUUCCCGGUGUAGCGGUGAAAUGCGUAGAGAUCGGGAGGAACAUCAGUGGCGAAGGCGGCCAUCU
rnacentral:rRNA from 1 species